rnacentral:rRNA from 1 species
AUUGAACGCUGGCGGCGUGCCUAACACAUGCAAGUCGAGCGAGCGGCGGACGGGUGAGUAAUGCCUGGGAAACUGCCUGAUGGAGGGGGAUAACACUUGGAAACAGGUGCUAAUACCGCAUACUUAUGGAUGAACCCGCGGUGCAUUAGCUAGUUGGUUAGGUAACGGCUCACCAAGGCAACGAUGCAUAGCCGACCUGAGAGGAUGACCAGCCACACUGGAACUGAGACACGGUCCAGACUCCUACGGGAGGCAGCAGUGGGGAAUAUUGCACAAUGGGCGCAAGCCUGAUGCAGCCACGCCGCGUGUGUGAAGAAGGCCUUCGGGUUGUAAAGCACUGUCAGCGGGGAGGCGGUACCCGAUGAAGAAGCACCGGCUAACUCCGUGCCAGCAGUCGCGGUAAUAC